UACGUAGGUGGCAAGCGUUGUCCGGAUUUAUUGGGCGUAAAGAGCGUGUAGGCGGCCCCGUUAGUCCGCUGUGAAAGUCCAGGGCUCAACCUGGAAUGCCGGUGGAUACUGCGGGGCUAGAGUCCGGAAGGGGCGAGUGGAAUUCCUGGUGUAGCGGUGAAAUGCGCAGAUAUCGGGAGGAGCACCGGUGGCGAAGGCGGCAUCCUGGACCGACAUUGACGCUGAACGGCGAAAGCUAGGGGAGCAAACGGG
rnacentral:rRNA from 1 species